rnacentral:hammerhead_ribozyme from 1 species
AUGUUAAUGAAGAGUCCCAAAUAGGACAAAACUCGAGUCCUAGAU